rnacentral:rRNA from 1 species
AAUGAACGCUGGCGGCAGGCCUAACACAUGCAAGUCGAACGGAAACACGAUGAGCUUUUGCUCUUGCCGGUGGCGGGGGGCGGGCGUGUGUCACGUGUAUCAAACUCCUCUAUGUCGGGGGUAAUCUCGUGGAAACGGUUACGAUAACAGCGCAUAUGUCCAACAGCAUAGAGCAGGAGUUCCUGGCCCCUUUCCAGCGUCUAUUAGCCGAUGCCGCGUUGGAUUAGCUAGUUGGUAGGGUAACGGCUAACCAAGGCGACGAUGCGUAGCUGAUCUGAGAGGAUGAUCGGCCACACUGGAACUGAGACACGGUCCAGACUCCUACGGGAGGCAGCAGUGGGGAAUAUUGGACAAUGGGCGCAAGCCUGAUGCAGCCAUGCCGCGUGUGUGAAGAAGGCCUUCGGGUUGUAAAGCUCUUUUAUUGGGGAAGAAAAGAAGUAGGUUAAUACCUGGACGUCUUGACGGUACCCAAAGAAAAAGCAACGGCUAACUUCGUG